GAAAGAGGCUGAGUAGCUAAGAAAACUGCUAACCUUCAAGACUUUGGUUAGACUCCAAAGCUCUUUCG
rnacentral:tRNA from 2 species